GAUGAACGCUGGCGGCGUGCCUAAUACAUGCAAGUCGAGCGAACAGACGAGGAGCUUGCUCCCCUGACGUUAGCGGCGGACGGGUGAGUAACACGUGGAUAACCUACCUAUAAGACUGGGAUAACUUCGGGAAACCGGAGCUAAUACCGGAAAAUAUAUUGAACCGCAUGGUUCAAUAGUGAAAGACGGUUUUGCUGUCACUUAUAGAUGGAUCCGCGCCGCAUUAGCUAGUUGGUAAGGUAACGGCUUACCAAGGCAACGAUGCGUAGCCGACCUGAGAGGGUGAUCGGCCACACUGGAACUGAGACACGGUCCAGACUCCUACGGGAGGCAGCAGUAGGGAAUCUUCCGCAAUGGGCGAAAGCUUGACGGAGCAACGCCGCGUGAGUGAUGAAGGUCUUCGGAUCGUAAAACUCUGUUAUUAGGGAAGAACAAAUGUGUAAGUAACUAUGCACGUCUUGACGGUACCUAAUCAGAAAGCCACGGCUAACUACGUG
rnacentral:rRNA from 1 species